GAUGAACGCUCGCGGCAGGCCUAAUACAUGCAAGUCGGACGGGAUUCAGGAGCUUGCUUCUGCUGAGAGUGGCGCACGGGUGCGUAACACGUAUGUAACCUACCUUUAUCAGGGGGAUAGCCUCUCGAAAGAGAGAUUAAGCCCGCAUAAAAUCACAGCACAGCAUUGUGUAAUGAUCAAAUAUUUAUAGGAUAAAGAUGGGCAUGCGGAACAUUAGCUAGAUGGCGGGGUAACGGCCCACCAUGGCGACGAUGUUUAGGGGAUCUGAGAGGAUGGCCCCCCAAACUGGUACUGAGACACAGACCAGACUGCUACGGGAGGCAGCAGUAAGGAAUAUUGGUCAAUGGGCGGAAGCCUGAACCAGCCAUGCCGCGUGCAGGAAGACGGCCCUACGGGUUGUAAACUGCUUUUAUACGAGAAGAAACCCAGAUACGUGUAUCUGGCUGAAUGUACUGUAAGAAUAAGGAUCGGCUAACUCCGUG
rnacentral:rRNA from 1 species